AUUGAACGCUGGCGGCAUGCCUUACACAUGCAAGUCGAACGGCAGCACGGGGGCAACCCUGGCGGCGAGUGGCGAACGGGUGAGUAAUAUAUCGGAACGUGCCCAGUCGUGGGGGAUAACGUAGCGAAAGUUACGCUAAUACCGCAUACGAUCUACGGAUGAAAGCGGGGAUCGCAAGACCUCGCGCGAUUGGAGCGGCCGAUAUCAGAUUAGGUAGUUGGUGGGGUAAGGCUCACCAAGCCAACGAUCUGUAGCUGGUCUGAGAGGACGACCAGCCACACUGGGACUGAGACACGGCCCAGACUCCUACGGGAGGCAGCAGUGGGGAAUUUUGGACAAUGGGCGCAAGCCUGAUCCAGCCAUUCCGCGUGCAGGACGAAGGCCUUCGGGUUGUAAACUGCUUUUGUACGGAACGAAAAAGCCUUGGCUAAUACCCAGGGUCCAUGACGGUACCGUAAGAAUAAGCACCGGCUAACUACGUGCCAGCCGCCGCCGUAA
rnacentral:rRNA from 1 species